rnacentral:piRNA from 1 species
UUGAAGGUUAAAAACUGUAGAUGAUUC